AUUGAACGCUGGCGGCAUGCCUUACACAUGCAAGUCGAACGGCAGCACGGGUGCUUGCACCUGGUGGCGAGUGGCGAACGGGUGAGUAAUACAUCGGAACAUGUCCUGUAGUGGGGGAUAGCCCGGCGAAAGCCGGAUUAAUACCGCAUACGAUCCACGGAUGAAAGCGGGGGACCUUCGGGCCUCGCGCUAUAGGGUUGGCCGAUGGCUGAUUAGCUAGUUGGUGGGGUAAAGGCCUACCAAGGCGACGAUCAGUAGCUGGUCUGAGAGGACGACCAGCCACACUGGGACUGAGUCACGGCCCAGACUCCUACGGGAGGCAGCAGUGGGGAAUUUUGGACAAUGGGCGAAAGCCUGAUCCAGCAAUGCCGCGUGUGUGAAGAAGGCCUUCGGGUUGUAAAGCACUUUUGUCCGGAAAGAAAUCCUUGACUCUAAUACAGUCGGGGGAUGACGGUACCGGAAGAAUAAGCACCGGCUAACUACGUG
rnacentral:rRNA from 1 species